rnacentral:rRNA from 1 species
AUGCAAUAUGCUGAUGAGACAAUAUUUUUUAUGGAACAUGACCUGGACAAGGCUCGAAACAUGAAACUCCUGUUGUCAGCGUUUGAGCAAAUAUCAGGUCUUAAAAUUAACUUCCAUAAAUGUGAAGUGUUCUGCUUUGGAGAGGCCUUCGAGGUAGCGGCCGAUUACGCAGACCUAUUUGGUUGCACACUUGGCCAAUUCCCGAUAAAAUAUCUAAGAAUACCGAUUCAUUAUCGACGUCUCACCAUUGCGGAGUGGAAGCAUGUAGAGGAGCAGCUAGAGAAACGGUUGAGCAGUUGGAAAGGAAAGUUGCUCUCAGUUGGAGGACGGCUGGUUUUGAUAAACUCUGUCCUCACAAAUAUGGUUCUCUAUAUGCUUUCUUUCUUCCAACUCCCAAAAGGGGUCUUGCAAAGAUUGGACUAUUUUAGGUCCAGAUUUUUUUGGCAAGGAGAUGGUGAAAAGAAAAAAUACCGGCUGACCAAAUGGAGCAUGGUUUGUAGGCCGAAAGACCAAGGUGGCCUUGGAAUUCAUGACCCGCAGGUCAAGAAUGAGGCCCUACUUAGUAAAUGGUUAUUCAAACUUCUUAUUGAUGAGGAUGGUGUUUGGCAAACCAUGCUGCGCAACAAGUAUCUAGGCCAAAAGGCGGUGUCUCAGGCAUAUUGGAAACCUGGCGAUUCACACUUUUAG